UGGGGGAUAUUGCACAAUGGGCGAAAGCCUGAUGCAGCGACGCCGCGUGGGGGAUGAAGGCCUUCGGGUUGUAAACUUCUUUUGCUCUGAACAAGGCAUGCUAAUGGGUGUGUUGAGUGUAGGGGUUGAUUAGCGCCGGCUAACUACGUGCCAGCAGCCGCGGUAAUACGUAGGGCGCGAGCGUUGUCCGGAAUUAUUGGGCGUAAAGGGCUUGUAGGUGGCUGGUUGCGUCUGUCGUGAAAGCUCAUGGCUUAACUGUGGGUUUGCGGUGGGUACGGGCUGGCUUGAGUGCAGUAGGGGAGGCUGGAAUUCCUGGUGUAGCGGUGGAAUGCGCAGAUAUCAGGAGGAAUACCGGUGGCGAAGGCGGGUCUCUGGGUUGUUACUGACACUGAGGAGCGAAAGCAUGGGGAGCGAACAGG
rnacentral:rRNA from 1 species